GAUGAACGCUAGCUACAGGCUUAACACAUGCAAGUCGAGGGGAAACGACAUCGAAAGCUUGCUUUUGAUGGGCGUCGACCGGCGCACGGGUGAGUAACGCGUAUCCAACCUGCCCACCACUUGGGGAUAACCUUGCGAAAGUAAGACUAAUACCCAAUGAUAUCUCUAGAAGACAUCUGAAAGAGAUUAAAGAUUUAUCGGUGAUGGAUGGGGAUGCGUCUGAUUAGCUUGUUGGCGGGGUAACGGCCCACCAAGGCAACGAUCAGUAGGGGUUCUGAGAGGACGGUCCCCCACAUUGGAACUGAGACACGGUCCAAACUCCUACGGGAGGCAGCAGUGAGGAAUAUUGGUCAAUGGACGAGAGUCUGAACCAGCCAAGUAGCGUGCAGGAAGACGGCCCUCUGGGUUGUAAACUGCUUUUAUAAGGGAAUAAAGUGAGUCUCGUGAGACUUUUUGCAUGUACCUUAUGAAUAAGGACCGGCUAAUUCCGU
rnacentral:rRNA from 1 species